rnacentral:rRNA from 1 species
GUGUCAGCAGCCGCGGUAAUACGGAGGGUGCGAGCGUUAUCCGGAAUUACUGGGUUUAAAGGGUGCGUAGGCGGCUUUGUAAGUCAGGAGUGAAAGUUUGCGGCUCAACCGUAAAAUUGCUUCUGAUACUGCAUGGCUAGAAUUAGGAUGAGGUCAGCGGAAUGUGGCAUGUAGCGGUGAAAUGCAUAGAUAUGCCAUAGAACACCAAUUGCGAAGGCAGCUGACUAGACCUGGAUUGACGCUGAGGCACGAAAGCGUGGGGAGCGAACAGGAUUAGAUACCCUGGUAGUCC